UUGAUCCAGAGAUUUCCGAAUGGGACAACCCAAUAUCUUGAAGAGGUAUUAUCCAACGUUGUUGGAGGCUAACGCAGGGAACUGAAACAUCUUAGUACCUGCAGGAAAAGAAAAUAAACAAUGAUUCCCCCAGUAGUGGCGAGCGAACGGGGAACAGCCCAAACCAUCCAUGUUACGGCAUGGGUGGGGUUGUAGGACUACGCCGUUGCAUGAAGACAUCAGAGAAGAACUUUCUGGAAAGAAAGACCAUAGAGCAUGACAGUUGCGUAUUCGAAUGUUGUCGAAGCAUAGUAGUAUCCUGAGUAGCGCGGAGCACGAGGAAUUCUGCGUGAAUCUGCCGGGACCAUCCGGUAAGGCUAAAUACUCCCGAGAGACCGAUAGCGAACCAGUACCGUGAGGGAAAGGUGAAAAGCACUUCGAACAGAAGAGUGAAAUAGUUCCUGAAACCGUGCGCCUACAAGCGGUCGGAGCUCGUUAAUGAGUGACGGCGUGCCUUUUGCAUAAUGAACCUACGAGUUGCCUUUGCCGGCAAGGUUAAGUGUGACGACACACGUAUCCGAAGCGAAAGCGAGUCUGAACAGGGCGUAUAGUCGGCAGUGGCAGACGCGAAACCAAGUGAUCUACCCUUGGCCAGGUUGAAGGCUGGGUAACACCAGCUGGAGGACCGCACCAAUAAGCGUUGAAAAGCUUCUGGAUGAGCUGAGGGUAGGGGUGAAAGGCUAAUCAAACUUGGAGAUAGCUCGUACUCCCCGAAAUGCAUUUAGGUGCAGCCUUGCGGGUUACUGAUGUGAGGUAGAGCGACUGAUAAGAUGCGAGGGCUUCACCGCCUAUCAAGUCUUGACAAACUCCGAAUGCGCAUCAGUUCUACCGCAGGAGUGAGGGCAUGGGUGCUAAGGUCCGUGCCCGAGAGGAGAAGAAUCCGGACCACCUGCUAAGGUCCCGAAAUGACAGCUAAGUUAAACUAACGAAGUCAGAUUGCUAAGACAGCUAGGAUGUUGGCUUGGAAGCAGCCAUUCAUUUAAAGAGUGCGUAACAGCUCACUAGUCGAGGAGUCGGGCGUGGAUAAUAAUCGGGUAUCAAGUUGUCUACCGAAGCAGUGGGAUCAUUUAUAUGAUCGGUAGGGGAGCAUUCCAGUCAGCGUCGAAGGCGUACCGUGAGGUAUUCUGGAGCGUCUGGAAAAGCAAAUGUAGGUAUAAGUAACGAUAAAGGGGGCGGGAAACCCCCUCGCCGAAAGACUAAGGUUUCCUGAUCAACGCUAAUCGGAUCAGGGUCAGUCGGGUCCUAAGGCUCAGCCGAACGGCGAUGCCGAUGGCAGAAACGGUUAAUAUUCCGUUACUACCUUCAGGAGUGACGUGGAGACGCAGUAGUGACAGUGCCGCCAUCUGACGGAAUAGAUGGUUGAAGGGUGUAGGAGUCGAUCAUGGCAGGCAAAUCCACCAUGAGAUCCGAACCUGACAGUAUGCCGCGUCCUUCGGGACAAGGCAAUAGUGCGCGUAAGCAUGCUGCCGAGAAAAUCCGCUAAACUUAAUCCUGCAGGUACCCGUACCGCAAACGGACACACGUAGUCGGGUUGAAUAUACUAAGGCGCUUGAGUGAUUCACGGUUAAGGAACUAGGCAAACUGACCCUGUAACUUCGGGAUAAAGGGUCCCUACCCUUUUAUGGGAGGGCGCAGAGAAUCGGUCCAGGCAACUGUUUAACAAAAACACAGGGCUGUGCCAAAUCGAAAGAUCCAGUAUACAGCCUGACACCUGCCCGGUGCUGGAAGGUUAAGAGGAGAUGUCAUCGAUGAGAGAAGCGUUGAAUUGAAGCCCCAGUAAACGGCGGCCGUAACUAUAACGGUCCUAAGGUAGCGAAAUUCCUUGUCGGGUAAGUUCCGACCUGCACGAAUGGUGUAAUGAUCUGGACGCUGUCUCAACCGUGAGCUCAGUGAAAUUGUAGUAUCGGUGAAGAUGCCGAUUACCCGCGAUGGGACGAAAAGACCCCGUGAACCUUUACUAUAGCUUAUCAUUGAAUCUGGGCACGUGAUGUGUAGGAUAGGUCGGAGGCUUUGAAGCAGGUACGCCAGUAUUUGUGGAGCCGCUGUUGAAAUACGACCCUUUAUUUGUUUGGAUUCUAACCCGUGGAACGGGGACAUUGAUUGGUGGGUAGUUUGACUGGGGUGGUCGCCUCCAAAAGCGUAACGGAGGCUUCUAAAGGUGCCCUCCGGCCGAUUGGUAACCGGCCUUAGAGUGUAAUGGCAUAAGGGCGCUUGACUGGGAGACUAACAAGUCGAUCAGGUAGGAAACUAGAGCAUAGUGAUCCGGUGUUUCC
rnacentral:rRNA from 1 species